rnacentral:rRNA from 1 species
AGACCCGAAACCCGGUGAUCUAGCCAUGGGCAGGUUGAAGGUUGGGUAACACUAACUGGAGGACCGAACCGACUAAUGUUGAAAAAUUAGCGGAUGACCUGUGGCUGGGGGUGAAAGGCCAAUCAAACCGGGAGAUAGCUGGUUCUCCCCGAAAGCUAUUUAGGUAGCGCCUCGUGAAUUCAUCUCCGGGGGUAGAGCACUGUUUCGGCUAGGGGGCCAUCCCGGCUUACCAACCCGAUGCAAACUGCGAAUACCGGAGAAUGUUAUCACGGGAGACACACGGCGGGUGCUAACGUCCGUCGUGAAGAGGGAAACAACCCAGACCGCCAGCUAAGGUCCCAAAGUCAUGGUUAAGUGGGAAACGAUGUGGGAAGGCCCAGACAGCCAGGAUGUUGGCUUAGAAGCAGCCAUCAUUUAAAGAAAGCGUAAUAGCUCACUGGUCGAGUCGGCCUGCGCGGAAGAUGUAACGGGGCUAAACCAUGCACCGAAGCUGCGGCAGCGACACUGUGUGUUGUUGGGUAGGGGAGCGUUCUGUAAGCCUGUGAAGGUGUGUCGUGAGGCAUGCUGGAGGUAUCAGAAGUGCGAAUGCUGACAUAAGUAACGAUAAAGCGGGUGAAAAGCCCGCUCGCCGGAAGACCAAGGGUUCCUGUCCAACGUUAAUCGGGGCAGGGUGAGUCGACCCCUAAGGCGAGGCCGAAAGGCGUAGUCGAUGGGAAACGGGUUAAUAUUCCCGUACUUGGUGUUACUGCGAAGGGGGGACGGAGAAGGCUAUGUUGGCCGGGCGACGGUUGUCCCGGUUUAAGCGUGUAGGUGUGUGUUCCAGGUAAAUCCGGUUCACUUUAACACUGAGGCGUGACGACGAGGCACUACGGUGCUGAAGCAACAAAUGCCCUGCUUCCAGGAAAAGCCUCUAAGCAUCAGGUAACAUCAAAUCGUACCCCAAACCGACACAGGUGGUCAGGUAGAGAAUACCAAGGCGCUUGAGAGAACUCGGGUGAAGGAACUAGGCAAAAUGGUGCCGUAACUUCGGGAGAAGGCACGCUGACACGUAGGUGAAGUGAUUUACUCAUGGAGCUGAAGUCAGUCGAAGAUACCAGCUGGCUGCAACUGUUUAUUAAAAACACAGCACUGUGCAAACACGAAAGUGGACGUAUACGGUGUGACGCCUGCCCGGUGCCGGAAGGUUAAUUGAUGGGGUCAGCGCAAGCGAAGCUCCUGAUCGAAGCCCCGGUAAACGGCGGCCGUAACUAUAACGGUCCUAAGGUAGCGAAAUUCCUUGUCGGGUAAGUUCCGACCUGCACGAAUGGCGUAAUGAUGGCCAGGCUGUCUCCACCCGAGACUCAGUGAAAUUGAACUCGCUGUGAAGAUGCAGUGUACCCGCGGCAAGACGGAAAGACCCCGUGAACCUUUACUAUAGCUUGACACUGAACAUUGAGCCUUGAUGUGUAGGAUAGGUGGGAGGCUUUGAAGUGUGGACGCCAGUCUGCAUGGAGCCGACCUUGAAAUACCACCCUUUAAUGUUUGAUGUUCUAACGUGGACCCGUUACCCGGGUUGCGGACAGUGUCUGGUGGGUAGUUUGACUGGGGCGGUCUCCUCCUAAAGAGUAACGGAGGAGCACGAAGGUUGGCUAAUCCUGGUCGGACAUCAGGAGGUUAGUGCAAUGGCAUAAGCCAGCUUGACUGCGAGCGUGACGGCGCGAGCAGGUGCGAAAGCAGGUCAUAGUGAUCCGGUGGUUCUGAAUGGAAGGGCCAUCGCUCAACGGAUAAAAGGUACUCCGGGGAUAACAGGCUGAUACCGCCCAAGAGUUCAUAUCGACGGCGGUGUUU